rnacentral:rRNA from 1 species
GAUGAACGCUGGCGGCGUGCCUAAUACAUGCAAGUCGAGCGAACGGACGAGAAGCUUGCUUCUCUGAUGUUAGCGGCGGACGGUGAGUAACACGUGGAUAACCUACCUAUAAGACUGGGAUAACUUCGGGAAACCGGAGCUAAUACCGGAUAAUAUUUUGAACCGCAUGGUUCAAAAGUUAAAGACGGUCUUGCUGUCACUUAUAGCUGGAUCCGCGCUGCAUUAGUUAGUUGGUAAGGUAACGGCUUACCAAGGCAACGAUGCAUAGCCGACCUGAGAGGGUGAUCGGCCACACUGGAACUGAGACACGGUCCAGACUCCUACGGGAGGCAGCAGUAGGGAAUCUACCGCAAUGGGCGAAAGCCUGACGGAGCAACGCCGCGUGAGUGAUGAAGGUCUUCGGAUCGUAAAAUUCUGUUAUUAGGGAAGAACAUAUGUGUAAGUAACUGUGCACAUCUUGACGGUACCUAAUCAGAAAGCCACGGCUAACUACGUG